AUGAUGGUAUUGUAGGCGUGCACAGUGUUGUGGUUCUGCCGCGAGACCGCGAUCGUCCACCCCACCCGCCCCGCCAUCAGCGCUCGGUCGACACCGCGCCGCCACCGAUCAACGCCCGCGGAUCCUCCACCCUCCUCCCUACCGCUGCCGCAAUCAACGCGGUCCUCCCCACGCGGAUCCGCGGGCCCUCCUCCCCACCGCCGUGCAACAGAUCCGCGGGACCGCAGCCGCCAUGGAAGGUCGUCCGCACUGUGGAUCCCAACCUCAAAUCCUCCCAGAUCCGCGCCCCGCACGCCGCCGCCUGCACCCGCCGUACGCCUGCCUCCACCGCGCCAGCAGUGCUCUCGCCAGAACCGCGCAUGCGCGCCCGCGAAUGGAUCUCGCCCGACGCUCCCGCCACGCACGCCGUGACCUCCGCCGCUCCCUCACCUCCUCCGCAACCCUGCUCCGAGCCCCCGCGAUGGGAUCACCCAUCUGCAUCGCACCCCCUUCUCCACCAACCCUCCGGCGUCUCCAGAGCGCCCAGAUCCCGCUCCGGCACCUCGCCAGCACACACCACGCGCGCGCCGAUCUGCUCGCUCGCCCGCCCCAAAUCCCGCCCGGUUCCUCUACCUUCCCCACAUCGGGCGUCAACGUUCGCGGACCAACCUUCCCCAAAUCCGCCCCGGUUCCUCUCCCUUCCCCACAUCGCCUGUCGACAUUCGCGGACGGGGCUUCCCCACAUUCGGCACCUGUUGUUACUGGGUAUAGGAUACAUCGGUACCUGUUGUUACUAGGUUCCUUGGGAAGGGCUGGAAAUCUGGUGCUGUAACUACUUUAGGCCGAGGUGGUAACGACAUGACUGCUACAACCAUUGGUAAAGCCUUGGGACCGAGAGAAAUUCAGGUAUGGAAAGAUGUUGAUGGUGUACUUACUUGUGUUCCAAAUAUCUACCCACAUGCAAAUAAUGUUCCAUACUUAACAUUUGAAGAGGCCACAGAACUUGCUUUUUUGGUGCUCAGGUUGUACUAACUAGCAUAGUGCUCAAGUCAAAUGUCACUAUGUUGGACAUUGUGAGCACUCGGAUGCUUGGUCAGUAUGGUUUUCUGGCAAGGGUAUUUGCUAUAUUUGAAGAUCUAUGUAUAUCUGUGGAUUGUGUUGCUACCAGUGAAGUUAGUGUUUCUGUGUCACUUGAUCCAUCAAAGAUCUGGAAGUUUUUUCUUGCUCGCACCCAAACCUAUUUCCAAUGCUCUUAACCCUUGAUAACAAGGUCAAUAGGAGAUGUGUAUCUGAAGAAACCAGAAUUUAAUAGAGAACCUUUGCACAGCAAGUUUCGUCUUCAGGAAACUUUUAGGAGACCACUUCUUAGUUCUGAUCCAGCAAUUACUGUCCACCAUCACCAUUUUUGCAUUUCAUGGACUCUGGGAACAUCUUAGUAAUCAGUAAGUGGUUGACACGGUCCAAAGUAGCCCGCGUAAUGUAUGUAUUCUUAUCUUAUAUUCAGUUUCUGUAAAUUGGUCUUUUUGAGACUUGGUGCCAAAUGUUACUACAUAUUUAAAAUAGUAUAAUUAAGGAUAUGGUUAGGCUCUCGUUGCGGCAUAUUUUCCUCCUAACUAAUCAUAUCCAUUCGGUUUUAGUUUUGGCAUGUACCAUUAAUUGUUCCGUUUCAAAUACGCUUAUGAUAUUAAAUUUGUGAUUAAGAUCCUAAAUGACAAGUUGCUUUUCUAGACACCAAUUAUUGCAGCUGUAUGUAUUGCUGUUGUAGUGUUCUAUUUUCAAUUUUUGAACCAAAUACUACUAGCGAUUAUUUAUAUACAAUAAACUGAUACUGUGCACUUUGGGUGCGUUUAGUUGCUCCCUUUUUGUGCUCUGCCAAAUGGUUGGCUGGCCAAUUUUAGGCGGCAUAGGAAUCAGCUGGGCAUUAUCCUGAAUGUACUGUGCAUUGGUCGCACGACGUUGGGCAAAACAAAACACGACUAGAAUCCAAGCUCCUAUUCUACAUACAGUUACUGACCAAUGUUUUGAUUAAGAACUUGUAGGCGCAAUCCAAACACACCCUAUACAUGAUGUUUUUCAUUAUCUCAUUCUAGAUGCCUUAUUAGGUUAUAUGUAUAUGCAACCUCUCAAUGAGGCAAGUCUGUUAAACAUUGUGCAUAUGGAUUUUCUGUUUCGUUUUCUCCUUGUACUAUCUUAAAGUUUCAGUUAGGUACAUAUAUUUGAUUGUUGCUUCUAGCCCACAUCUUUGUCCAGGUACCACAAGUACAAGAGCCCUAGAAGGGGAUCUAUAGACCCAAGCGAUGAGUCGUUCUUCAUUAAGCACUGCCUCUAUUCGAGUUCUUUGCCACUAGCCCACUAGAGAUCUGUAGAAGCUCAGGAACCUUAAGUGGCUUUCAUCGGGAUGUCACAAGUAUUUGUGAUGAGGAGCAGUAGAGAUUUAGCGUUUUCGAGCUGCAGCGUAACAGUCUGGAUUUGAGUUCCAUGGGGACUGCAUGUCAAGCCAGCAGUUGGUCGAUUUCAUCCGCGAGCAUAUAGACACAGUUGUCCACAGAUCAUUCUGAAAAGGCAUUUCGAGUAAGGAUGGCAAACAGGUGCCCAUGAAGUUGCUGCUCGCUCGGAUGGUGCUCGACCUAAUUGUGUUGCCGAAGUUCUUAUUGAGGUUAUUAAGAUUUGCCAACUUUUUAGGUAGGUGUUCCAGAGCACGGAAGGCCCUUGAGCUAAGCCAACUUUUAGGAGUCAAUAUUUCUCCAACAGGUACUUUUGCAGUAGUCAUGAGUCAUUGCUUAUAUGAAGUAAGGAGAGAAAAUUAUUGCUUCUCUUUUCUGAUGCGUGAAGUUGUACAUGGACAUUCUACAGAGGGCUCGGUGUGCCUUUCAAGUACUACAUCAAUGACUUCUUAUUUCUUUAUGGACUUGUAGCACCUGAAUGGAACCCGUGUUUGAACUCUGCAUUUUUUGAAGAUGACAUUAUUGUCGUAUUGUAAUAUAAUUUGAUCCGUAUCAAUUUAGUUAUGUAUUAAUUGUUGCCAAAGAAUUUAUGAGAUAUUGAGAUCGAUAAUAUAUGUGGUAUUUUUUUUAUAUAAUUGUUGUGCAAUAACAUUUUGCUGAAUAUUUUGUAUACCGUUGCAACGCACGGGCUCCUAACUAGUUUAUCUUGAAUUACAUUUUUUGUGUGUCAGGUGGUCUUUGUUGAAGCAACUGAAGCCCAAUACGCAUUCAAAAAACCACUAUAUACACGAUAUAAUACGUAAUUUUGCCAGUGGUGUGAUGCGGACUCGAGCAUCACCAAUUCACCUCUCUGUUGUAUCUAACGGCAGUUAUGGCCUCAUGGAGUCAUGGGUUUAACCUCUGGAACCCUGAAUCUGAAUAAGCAAUCCGUACCGUGCAACUGAACUAACCAUCAAUACUCAAGACCGAGAGCGCCUUUAUUGAAGCUACCAAGGAAAUCAAUGACCUGUGCUCUAGGUAUGAUGUGAAGCCGGGCAAUGCCAUUCUUGCUGAGGACAAACAUUUGCCAAUAGAAUGGGAAACAAAUUCUUGAUGUUGUCACAUUAAGCACCCAUGAGACGGGGAGAAACAUAGUGGACUCCUAAUUUUUAUGGCUAGCUUGCAGUGAAAGAGCUGCAGAAGAUUAAUUCCUUUAAAGAACCACGUGAGAAGCUUCUGUGCAUCAUGAGCUGUUGUCAAGUCAUCAAUAACUUGCUUCUGAACAUAUUAUCUAGGCUGAUGAGUUCCUUCCUAUUCUUAUCUAUGUUACUAUCAAG